rnacentral:lncRNA from 1 species
UUAGAGAUAGAGAGAAAGAGUGGAUGGUGGUGGUGGGAGGUGUCUCGAUAGGUGUGGUAAAGAGUAAGAAGAAGAGGGAGGAGACAAGGUAAAGGGAGAUUGGGGACACUUGCUUCUCUGCACUGCACAGCACUCUUCUUGCUUCUUCUUCUUCAUUGCACCUCUCCCAAUCUCUCUCUCUUCUAUUCUUUAUUUUAUUUCUUUUUCUCUUCUUUCCUUUUUUUAAUUUAUACGCCACACCAAAAGACUCACAUUUCUUGUUAUUUUCAUGUUUACUAACAAUAAGAAGAAAAAAG